AAUAGGAUAGCUCACUCGGUUAAAGCACUGUGUUGCGGAGCAGAAGUGUCCGGGUUCGAGUCCCGGUCAGAGUU